rnacentral:rRNA from 2 species
AGACCCGAAACCCGGUGAUCUAGCCAUGGGCAGGUUGAAGGUUGGGUAACACUAACUGGAGGACCGAACCGACUAAUGUUGAAAAAUUAGCGGAUGACCUGUGGCUGGGGGUGAAAGGCCAAUCAAACCGGGAGAUAGCUGGUUCUCCCCGAAAGCUAUUUAGGUAGCGCCUCGUGAAUUCAUCUCCGGGGGUAGAGCACUGUUUCGGCUAGGGGGCCAUCCCGGCUUACCAACCCGAUGCAAACUGCGAAUACCGGAGAAUGUUAUCACGGGAGACACACGGCGGGUGCUAACGUCCGUCGUGAAGAGGGAAACAACCCAGACCGCCAGCUAAGGUCCCAAAGUCAUGGUUAAGUGGGAAACGAUGUGGGAAGGCCCAGACAGCCAGGAUGUUGGCUUAGAAGCAGCCAUCAUUUAAAGAAAGCGUAAUAGCUCACUGGUCGAGUCGGCCUGCGCGGAAGAUGUAACGGGGCUAAACCAUGCACCGAAGCUGCGGCAGCGAACGUAUCACUUAAAGCGAUUCAGCGGGUUACGAUUGACGGAGCGAAGCGACGUCAAAGCGUAUACAAAGUCGAGUCGGUUUAAGGAUACGUUCGUUGGGUAGGGGAGCGUUCUGUAAGCCUGUGAAGGUGGCCUGUGAGGGUUGCUGGAGGUAUCAGAAGUGCGAAUGCUGACAUAAGUAACGAUAAAGCGGGUGAAAAGCCCGCUCGCCGGAAGACCAAGGGUUCCUGUCCAACGUUAAUCGGGGCAGGGUGAGUCGACCCCUAAGGCGAGGCCGAAAGGCGUAGUCGAUGGGAAACGGGUUAAUAUUCCCGUACUUGGUGUUACUGCGAAGGGGGGACGGAGAAGGCUAUGUUGGCCGGGCGACGGUUGUCCCGGUUUAAGCGUGUAGGUGUGUGUUCCAGGUAAAUCCGGUUCACUUUAACACUGAGGCGUGA